AUGUAUCGGUUCACAUGGUGGAAAACGUGCAUUCCGAAUAAGAAAGGGGGCUUGGGGUUUAGAGACAUUCUCAGUUUUAACCUUGCUAUGUUAGCAAAACAGUGUUGGCGACUAAUCCAGGACCCGAAUUCUUUAUGUGCACAUGUCUUGAGUGCUAAAUACUACCCCGAUGGUAAUAUCUUAGGGGCUGGCCCGAAGAAGGGAUUGUCAUACACCUGGCAGAGUGUUGUUGCAGGAAUACAAACAUUUAAAAGGGGUUGUAUAUGGAGAGUUGGUUCGGGUGCACAUAUACAAGACCCUUGGAUUUCAUCUAGCCCAUCACGAAAAGUCAUUACUCCUAGAGGUGCAACAAUGCUUACAUGUGUGGAAGGACUCAUUAAUCCACAUACAGGUCAGUAGGAUGAAGGUUUGAUAAGGGAUGUUUUCUCUCAAGUGGAUUCCUAUAGAAUGUUACAAACCCCCCUCAGUGUUCAUAUGAUGGAGGACUUUGUGGCAUAGUUUUAUAUGAAGUCUGGGACGUUUUCUACUUGGUCCGCAUAUCACCGGGAGUUUGAGCACCAACAUGGCCAGUGCCUAGCUCGUUCUGAUGGACAAGGUAACAUGCAUAUAAAUAGUAUAAUGAAGGAAGUACGAAACCUCAGAAUCCCGGGAAAAAAUAAACACUUUGCAUGGAAAGUUCUAAAUGGGUCACUCCCCUGCUUUGGUAUCCUAGAAGAUAGCCAUAUUUCACUAAUUCCCCGAUGUUUGAUCUGUCACGUUGGACUUGAGGACAUCCAACACACUUUAUUUUGCUGCAGUCGAGCUACGGAUGUGUGGACUGAGUUGGAAUUACAUGAAAUGAUAACUGAUGUAGUAAAGGAGGAUCAAUCGGAUUCUGUGACAAUGGAGAUCUUGGCCGGGAACCAUUAG
rnacentral:rRNA from 1 species